rnacentral:rRNA from 1 species
AGUGAACGCUGGCGGUAGGCCUAACACAUGCAAGUCGAACGGCAGCACAGUAAGAGCUUGCUCUUACGGGUGGCGAGUGGCGGACGGGUGAGGAAUACAUCGGAAUCUACUUUUUCGUGGGGGAUAACGUAGGGAAACUUACGCUAAUACCGCAUACGACCUACGGGUGAAAGCAGGGGAUCUUCGGAUCUUGCGCGAUUGAAUGAGCCGAUGUCGGAUUAGCUAGGUGGCGGGGUAAAGGCCCACCAAGGCGACGAUCCGUAGCUGGGCUGAGAGGAUGAUCAGUGAAACUGGAACUUAUACACGGUCCAGACACCCACGGGAGCCAGCAGGGGGGAAGAUUGGACAAGGGGUGAAAGCCUGAACCAGCCAUGCAGCGUGUGUGAAGAAGGUCUUCGGAUUGUAAAGCACGUUAAGUUGGGAGGAAGGGCAGUAAGGUAAUACCUUGCUGUUUGGACGGGACCAACAGAAUAAGCACCGGCUAACUUCGUG